UUGAAACACGGACCAAGGAGUGCUGCAGGUGCGCGAGUCGCCGGGUCUUGUACAGGCCCGAGGGCGAAGCGAAGGCGAGGAGCUCGCUCCUGCCGGGAUCCGCCGUCCCCCGAGGCGGCGGCGCACCGGCGGCCCGUCCCGUCCGGCGCCUUCCGCCGCUCCGCCCGAACCCGCGAGGGGGAAGGCGGCCGCGGCGCUGGCGCGCGGUGGGGCGGAGUCCGAGCGCACCCGCAGCUACCCGAAAGAUGGUGAACUAUGCCUGGGCCGGACGAAGCCGGGGGAAACCCCGGUGGAGGUCCUUAGCGGUUCUGACGUGCAAAUCGAUCGUCGGAUCCGGGUCUAGGGGCGAAAGACCAAUCGAACCAUCUAGUAGCUGGUUCCCUCCGAAGUUUCCCUCAGGAUAGCUGGCGCUCGAGGGAUCCAGUCUCGUCCGUUAGAGCGAACGAUUAGAGGCAUCGGUGCCGGAACGGCAUCGACCUAUUCUCGAACUCCGAAUGGGCGAGAGGUCCGCCUUCCCCGAGCGAAGGCCGGACGCGGGAUGAGAGUGCCCAGUGGGCCACUUUUGGUAAGCAGAACUGGCGCUGUGGGAUAAACCAAACGCCGCAUUAAGGCGCCCGAUGCUAAACGCUCACGAGACCCCUUGAAAGGUGUUGGUUGCCGAGACAGCAGGACGGUGGCCAUAGAAGUCUGAUACCGCAAAGGAGUAACAACUCRCCUACYGAAGCAACUAGCCCUGAAAAUGGAUGGCGCUCCAGCGUCGAGCCCAUAYACAGCCGCCGUGCGCAGCGGAGGAUAAUGGGGCYAAGCCCCGGAAACCUUAUGCGGUAGUAGGAAGAGUGAGUAGUAAGGUGAGUAGGAAGGUCGCCUAGAGAGCUUUGAAGGUGUCGAGCGCGAGCACGUCUGGAGCCCCGGCGGGUACAGAUCUUUGUGGUAGUAGCAAAUACUCGAGUGAGAACCUUGAGGACUGAAGACUGAGAAGGGUUCCAUGUGAACAGCAGUUGAAUAUGGGUCAGUCGGAACUGAAGGAUUUGAAAGAUCCGUUCCGAAGGCGGGCCCUUCAGCAAGUCCCCGCCGUCCCGACAGAAAGGGAACGGGGUUAAUAUUCCCUGACCCGGAGACUAAAAUCGGGCGGCCUCCUUCGCGRGGGGCGGCCCCAGUGCGAAAACUCAACCGAACUCUGAUACCGCCGCGGAGACCCCGGGGAAGAGUUACUUUUUCUUCGUAAGAUACCUCUCCUCUGGAAUUGGCUCGACCGGAGAUAGGGACGUUGGUUUCGUGGGAGUACCGCGGCUCUUGCGGUGUCCGGUCCGCCUCUGUUGCCCCUU
rnacentral:rRNA from 1 species